GCCAGCGUAGCUCAGUGGUAGAGCGGCGCUUUCGUAAAGCGCGGGUCGGGGGUUCGAAUCCCUUCGCUGGCUCCA
rnacentral:tRNA from 1 species